GAUGAACGCUGGCGGCGUGCCUAAUACAUGCAAGUCGAGCGAACGGACGAGAAGCUUGCUUCUCUGAUGUUAGCGGCGGACGGGUGAGUAACACGUGGAUAACCUACCUAUAAGACUGGGAUAACUUCGGGAAACCGGAGCUAAUACCGGAUGAUAUUUUGAACCGCAUGGUUCAAAAGUGAAAGACGGUCUUGCUGUCACUUAUAGAUGGAUCCGCGCUGCAUUAGCUAGUUGGUAAGGUAACGGCUUACCAAGGCAACGAUGCAUAGCCGACCUGAGAGGGGGAUCGGCCACACUGGAACUGAGACACGGUCCAGACUCCUACGGGAGGCAGCAGUAGGGAAUCUUCCGCAAUGGGCGAAAGCCUGACGGAGCAACGCCGCGUGAGUGAUGAAGGUCUUCGGAUCGUAAAACUCUGUUAUUAGGGAAGAACAUAUGUGUAAGUAACUGUGCACAUCUUGACGGUACCUAAUCAGAAAGCCACGGCUAACUACGUG
rnacentral:rRNA from 1 species